CGUGAAGCUGGAAUUGCUAGUAAUCGCGGAUCAUCAUGCCGCGGUGAAUACGUUCCCGGGCCUUGUACACACCGCCCGUCACACCAUGGGAGCCGGUAAUACCCGAAGUCGGUAGUCUAACCGCAAGGAGGACGCCGCCGAAGGUAGGAUUGGCGACUGGGGCGAAGUCGUAACAAGGUAGCCGUAUCGGAAGGUGCGGCUGGAUCACCUCCUUUCUG
rnacentral:rRNA from 1 species